rnacentral:rRNA from 1 species
UACCGCGUGUGUGAAGAAGGCCUUAGGGUUGUAAAGCACUUUCAAUUGGGAGGAAAACCUACCGGUCAAUACCCGGUAGCUUGACAUUACCUUUAGAAGAAGCACCGGCUAACUCCGUGCCAGCAGCCGCGGUAAUACGGAGGGUGCGAGCGUUAAUCGGAAUUACUGGGCGUAAAGCGUGCGUAGGCGGUUCGUUAAGUCAGAUGUGAAAGCCCUGGGCUCAACCUGGGAACUGCAUUUGAAACUGGCGGACUAGAGUUUAGUAGAGGGGAGUGGAAUUUCAGGUGUAGCGGUGAAAUGCGUAGAUAUCUGAAGGAACACCAGUGGCGAAGGCGACUCCCUGGACUAGAACUGACGCUGAGGUACGAAAGCGUGGGUAGCAAACAGGAUUAGAUACCCUGGUAGUCCACGCCGUAAACGAUGUCGACUAGCCGUUGGGCCUAUAUACAGGUUUAGUGGCGCAGCUAACGCAUUAAGUCGACCGCCUGGGGAGUACGGCCGCAAGGUUAAAACUCAAAUGAAUUGACGGGGGCCCGCACAAGCGGUGGAGCAUGUGGUUUAAUUCGAUGCAACGCGAAGAACCUUACCUACCCUUGACAUCCAGAGAAUCUGUUAGAGAUAGU